rnacentral:rRNA from 1 species
GAUGAACGCUGGCGGCGUGCCUAAUACAUGCGAGUCGAACGCUGAAGGAGGAGCUUGCUCUUCUGGAUGAGUUGCGAACGGGUGAGUAACGCGUAGGUAACCUGCCUGGUAGCGGGGGAUAACUAUUGGAAACGAUAGCUAAUACCGCAUGACAACAGUUAUUGCAUGAUAACUGUUUAAAAGGGGCAACUGCUCCACUACCAGAUGGACCUGCGUUGUAUUAGCUAGUUGGUGAGGUAACGGCUCACCAAGGCGACGAUACAUAGCCGACCUGAGAGGGUGAUCGGCCACACUGGGACUGAGACACGGCCCAGACUCCUACGGAAGGCAGCAGUAGUGAAUCUUCGGCAAUGGACGGAAGUCUGACCGAGCAACGCCGCGGGAGUGAAGAAGGUUUUCGGAUCGUAAAGCUCUGUUGUAAGAGAAGAACGAGUGUGAGAGUGGAAAGUUCACACUGUGACGGUAUCUUACCAGAAAGGGACGGCUAACUACGUG